rnacentral:rRNA from 1 species
CGAGUACGUCACGUAGUUUGAUCAUGGCUCAGAACGACGCUGGCGGCAUGCCUAACACAUGCAAGUCGAACGAGACCCCUGACUUCGGUUGGCGGGUCUAGUGGCGCACGGGUGCGUAACGCGUGGGAAUCUGCCCUUGGGUUCGGAAUAACUCAGAGAAAUUUGAGCUAAUACCGGAUGAUGACGAAAGUCCAAAGAUUUAUCGCCCAGGGAUGAGCCCGCGUAAGAUUAGCUUGUUGGUGGGGUAAUGGCCUACCAAGGCGACGANCUUUAGCUGGUCUGAGAGGACGACCAGUCACACUGGGACUGAGACACGGCCCAGACUCCUACGGGAGGCAGCAGUGGGGAAUUUUGGACAAUGGGGGCAACCCUGAUCCAGCAAUGCCGCGUGUGCGACGAAGGCCUUCGGGUUGUAAAUAUCUUUUAUCUGGGAAGAAACUCCUCUAUUCUUAGAGGCCUGACGGUACCAGAGGAAUAAGCACCGGCUAACUCCGUG